rnacentral:rRNA from 1 species
GCAGCCGACGGCAGCACGGGAGCAAUCCUGGUGGCGAGUGGCGAACGGGCGAGUAAUAUAUCGGAACGUGCCCAGUCGUGGGGGAUAACGUAGAGAAAUUUACGCUAAUACCGCAUACGAUCUAAGGAUGAAAGCGGGGGACCGUAAGGCCUCGCGCGAUUGGAGCGGCUGAUAUCAGAUUAGGUUGUUGGUGAGGUAAAAGCUCACCAAGCCGACGAUCUGUAGCUGGUUUGAGAGAACGACCAGCCACACUGGGACUGAGACACGGCCCAGACUCCUACGGGAGGCAGCAGUGGGGAAUUUUGGACAAUGGGCGAAAGCCUGAUCCAGCAAUGCCGCGUGCAGGAAGAAGGCCUUCGGGUUGUAAACUGCUUUUGUACGGAACGAAAAGGUCUGCCCUAAUACGGCGGGCCCAUGACGGUACCGUAAGAAUAAGCACCGGCUAACUACGUGCCAGCAGCCGCGGUAAUACGUAGGGUGCGAGCGUUAAUCGGAAUUACUGGGCGUAAAGCGUGCGCAGGCGGUUUUGUAAGUCUGUCGUGAAAUCCCCGGGCUCAACCUGGGAAUUGCGAUGGAGACUGCAAGGCUAGAAUCUGGCAGAGGGGGGUAGAAUUCCACGUGUAGCAGUGAAAUGCGUAGAGAUGUGGAGGAACACCGAUGGCGAAGGCAGCCCCCUGGGUCAAGAUUGACGCUCAUGCACGAAAGCGUG